CGGCAGGGAGGGUCGGGGGGCUCGGCCUCCCCUGUAACUACAAACGGUCGUCAUGGUAGGACCAGUAACCCCAAGGGCGAUGGUUCCAUCCUCUGAGUUUAGUAUAACUGACGUAGAAGUCCCGCCCCACGGGAGUGUCGGAGCAGGGCAAUUCCAUUCGGAGGAAUGGAAUCCCUGCAUACUGGACGAACCGGGUUAGGCCCGGAAGGGAGCGGCCCUAAGUCCAGACGGCACUGUUCGUGGGAUAACGGGAUGGAUGUCAGUUAUACUAAACUCAGAGGAUAAGGGCCAUCCACCUUGGGGGGCUGCCG
rnacentral:SRP_RNA from 1 species